CUUUACAGGAAGCAUGGUGCUGGCGUCUGCUCAGCUUGUAGGCAGGGAAGUGAGAACAUGCAUAUUUUACUUUCUGUGUCUGAGUUGUUUCACUUAAGAUAAUGGCCCCCAGUCGCAAGGAUGUUGAGUUCUGCAUGGCUGGGGAGGCCUCAGGAAACUUACUGCGAAGAUGCUUCCUUGUGCAAGAAGCGCCUGUCAGGCGCGGGAUUCGGGGCUGGCAUCUGGGACGCGGGCUGAGGUGGGAGGCGGGCCUGCAUCUGAAGAAUACGCUCGGAGGCUGAGUCUUGGCGUUCUCGGAGCUAAACGCUGCUAGAAAGACAAACAUGAUGCACCUAACUAUUGUCUCCGUAGAUUAUGAGGAUGAGAGGUGGAGGUUCUCUCUCUUGUAGGUAUGAUCCCCGUUGUGCACCUGAAACUCAGGCGAUGAAUUUCAGUGAAGGAAAUGACCUGUCUAGGGCCACAUAAUACCUGUUUGAAAAGCCAGUACCACACUAAGUCUCCACUAUUAAGGGUGUGAUGGUGAGGGUGGGGUCGUAGGGAGCACAGGUAUGUGUCAGAAAGAGAAAACAUGAGGCUUGAGUGUCCUCCAUUUAUUCACUCAUUCAUUCUACAAAAAUGGAGAGCUUACUUUGUGCCAGGGCCUUAUUUGGGCUGGUUGGUGGGGAUUCAAUAAUGGGAAUACACCAAGAACAAGACAGACAUGCUGCCAGACAUACUGGAACUCACGGUUUAGUUGGGAAAGACUGACAGGAAAUAAUUAUCCAUGAGAUACAUAAUUAGAAUUUGGUGUUGUGCACUGAGAAAUACCGCGGUGUCAUUAGAGUUUGUAAUUUAGUGAUAUUUAAGCUGAG
rnacentral:lncRNA from 1 species